rnacentral:rRNA from 1 species
UACGUAGGUGGCAAGCGUUACCCGGAAUUAUUGGGCGUAAAGCGCGCGUAGGCGGUUUUUUAAAUCUGAUGUGAAAGCCCACGGCUCAACCGUGGAGGGUCAUUGGAAACUGGAAAACUUGAGUGCAGAAGAGGAAAGUGGAAUUCCAUGUGUAGCGGUGAAAUGCGCAGAGAUAUGGAGGAACACCAGUGGCGAAGGCGACUUUCUGGUCUGUAACUGACGCUGAUGUGCGAAAGCGUGGGGAUCAAACAGGAUUAGAUACCCUG